UCCCUGGUGGUCCAGUGGUUAGGACUCUGCUCUUCCACUGCUGGGAGCCUGGGUUCGAUCCCUGGAGAGGGAA
rnacentral:tRNA from 1 species